UGUUGUUGUUAUUUGCCAGCGAGGCUUCGCGCCUCCGAAAAUGGACGGAUGGACGUUGUUCUUUGCGUUUGUGCGCAAGGUCACGUGACGCACGCGAUGCUCCCGUUGAGCACGCGUGCGUGCACGAUUCAUCCUCCCUGUGGUGCCUCAUUUAUUCAUUCGUCCUUUUCGGGUUCAUCCAAUCAUUGAUCAUGAUUCAUGAUUCAAAUGUGUGUGCGCGUGCUCGACUAGACAGCCAAUGAGAAUUUCUUUGCAAAACAUCCAUCGAUUUUGGGUUGGUGGCGGAUUCGUGGACAUUUUGUUUGUCUUCGAUGGACGUCAAGGCCUCGAUGGACCAAUCCGACGUGGAUGCCGGCCAGUCCGGAAGUUGCUCGGGCAUUCGCGAGCGGCGUCUGCCGGCUCGGCUUUCUCGUUCCAUUCGGAUUUGGCCUGUUUAGUCCGAUUGAGAUGUUUUCGUUCGGUUUGGGCUUCUAACCCGAUUCUAAUCGGGAUACAAGGCUCCGUGUAAACCCGACUAAGGAUCACUGUGAUUGACUGUUAGCAAGCAAAUCAGCGCUCGAGAAAAGAACCGUAAGUGACAAAGGUAAAUAAAGGGCCACAUAUCGGUGAAUCAACAUCUGUCAUCCUAAAUGAAAGGAUGUUUUCAUUUUAAACCUGGAGAAACUGUGACUCCUCCCACCGACGGUAUGAAGGGGUAUUACCUCUCACACAUGUGCAGAAGGUAUACGUAGUUUUUGGCGUCGCGGUCGCCUUGCUGCACUGUGCACGCCGUCACUUGUACGGUCCGAACGUCGCUAAAGUUGUCCGACCGUCGGCUUGGUGUCUCGAGGUCCUAAGAUGCUAACUCCACAGAGCCCAGAUUCCAAGAACUGUGAGGCAAACCUGCUAAGCACUUCAGCCCCUGUUUAUGUCGGGGGAUGCGUUCCAGUCCCAGCCGCUAUUGGUGAAACCAAUGGAGAAAGACAGAGUGACCUUACUUCUCUCUGGCGUCGGGUGGAAUCCUCGCAUCUCCAAAAGCAUGAAGCACUUUUCAGGAGCGCAAAAAACCCCAAUUUGUUGAGCCAUGGCAUUUUUAACAUCUUUGAUCCGGCGAUCAUUUGUCAAAAUAAUACACUCACGAGGACUGACCAAUAGUAUCAGUUUGGGAAAAUAUAUGAAAUUGACCAAAUUUAAACAUAGGAGGUUUCAUCUGGACGCCAGCAACUAUGGUUUUAACAUAGUACAUAGGUAGAUGCGAGCGGCAUGCGACGCUAAGCUAGGAAGGACAAAGAAAACCAAAAGACUAAAGAUGCCGGUCGAUUGUGCUGCGUCUGGGUGCGCACAACGCUGUACAAUGACAACUGAGAAUAACCUUUCACAGGUGCAAAUAUUUGGGGGGCUUUUGUUAAAUGUUCUAUAUUGAUAGCACACACUUAAGCAGUGACAUCAACUCGGUUGAGAAAUGAGAACGUUCAGACUUACUCCACGCAUUGCCUUCGAUGGGAAUUUCACCCCCUCCAACAUGGCCACCAAGGUAGGCACGUCGCUUACCUGAGCGGCUGGCGUAUCGCGUCUUCUAUUCAUAUCUAGGGUUGUGAAAAAAUAUGCAUGCUAAACAAGAGGGGUCCAGGAAGUGACCGUUGGGGAACCCCAUAUGUCAUUGCCAUUGGAUCAGAUUGAAAACUUUCAAUGGUUGCAAAAUAGGUAGGACCUCAACCCUUUAAGGACUUUCAUUGAGUCCUACCCAAGUUUCCAACCUGUUCAGCAGUAUGUUAUGAUUUACCAUAUCAAACGCCAACAAGACCAGAAUUAACGCCGUACCCGAAUCAGUGUUCAACCUUAUGUCAUUUAGCACUUUGAUAAGAGCUUAUUCUGUGCUGCAAUGAAGUCGGAAAGCUGAUUGAAAUUGGUCCAAAAGUCCAUUUCUGUUCAAGAAAUUGCUUCCAAUUGGUCCAAAACCAACCUCAAGUCUCACAAUCUUGGCUAUUACGAGAGGUUUGAGAUGCGUGUUAUCGUUUGCUAACAAGGAGGCAAACGGCUUACUAGCGGCUACUUUUAGAGGGUUAGGAAAAUCGCUUCAACUGGAGUUUAGGCGUUGAAUAGGAAUUGAUUAUGUUGCUACAACUACAACACACAUACACACAUGCCGACGCACAUACACGUUGACACACCUGCACACAAACACACAUUUGCGAACACAAACACAGACACACCGUAAACACAUUGAUUGCGUCAUAUUUGAAGUCGUGUCUUUCUGUCCACACGGACUGUUUGGCGCCCCCAGUGGUGACAAGCUGCACUGCAUGUUAAUCCUCCAAAGCAAGACAGCCAAUCAGCACAUGAAUAUGAUGCGACGCCACGUACGAAUGAAGGCAUGAAUGAGGUGUAUGCGUGUGUGAACGUGUGACUUCCUCGCAGCUAAACCUAGUUAGCCUGGCUAAAGUAGCCGUUUGCGAAUGUGGCGCGGCUACUUCCUGUCAGCCUCUUCCUCCUCCUCCUCUUCCUCACCCCUCCCUUCCCUGUUUAUCAGCUCAGCCAGCCUGGCCGACGCCCUCCGCACUUAUCGCCGUGGUUACAGGACGCGCCUCGUGUGUGUGUUCACGGCGAUCGCCAAUCAUGAACAAGGUGGACGGCCGCGUCGUCGCCGCCGCCGUCGGCUCGUCGUCCUCACGAGGGCAGAGCGCGCCGUCCUCUCCCGCUACCGUCGCCAUCAUGGCACGUGUGGACGACGAGGUGGUGGCGUACCGCGACUUGGCGGCGCUCCCGCGCGACAAAGCCAUCCUGCAGGUGGAGCGACCCGACCUCAUGACCUACCGGCCUCACCUCAGCUUCUCGCCGCUGGAUGGGCCGCGCAGACAGCGCUCUCUGUCUCCUCCCGCCGCCUCGCCCACCACAUCUCCGGAGGUAAGAGCCCCGCCCCCGCCGUGACGAGCGCGUGCGAGCUCGAGCGCUACUUCCUGUUUCAGGGCAAAGGACGGCGAGCGGAAAGUGACUGCGGCUCCCCCGGAGGCUCCGUGCUGCAACUGCACGCUGGACGCAAGAUCAGCGCCAGUCUGCAGCACUUCCACCGGCCAGAUAACGGGACAAACAUCUACAGAAAGCCUCCCAUCUACAAACAGGAAGGUUUCAAAGCAGCGGACGACGGCGGCGGCGUCGUCCAAGCGGCCAAAUUCCCGGCCGCUCGGCGUCCGGACCCCGACCAGCCUUCCAAGAUCGAGACCGACUUCUGGCCGUGCCCCCCGUCGUUGGCCGCCAUGGAAAUCGAGUGGCGGAAGAAGAAAAUGGAGGAGGAGGAGGAGGACGACGACUUCGAAGACCUGACGGACGAAGCCGAGGCGCUGCAGGAGCAGGAGCUGGAAAAGAUCAAGUCCAACCUGGGUCGUCUGAUCCUGCGCGAGGAGAAGGAGAAAGGCACCGACUUCCGGCGAAAGACGCGCUCGCUGCCCGACAGAACGCACGCGCACGCCAGUGAGACCGAACCCGAGAUCGGGCGAUGCCCGCCGGCCUCGCGUCCUCCUCCUCGUCGGCGCCGCCUGUCCCGGCUCACGGCCCGUUUCCUGUUUCCUGUCUGCAGAGGCAGUCGGCCGAGUUUUCCACGGACGGCGCCAACGCAGUGGCUCAGGUGUGUGCGACGUCAACAUUGGGCCAGCGUACGGGUGGUGAUGUCAUCACAGCAAGCAAAUGGCACCCCCUGCUGGUCAAUACUAAGAAUACUGCUUCAUGAUUUGUGUGCGUGUAUGUGUGGUGUGGACAGAACGCCGCCCCCCAGUGUGUCGGUCUGGACCGCGGGACUUCGCUGCCGAGCAUCUUGGAGCAGAAGCAGGUUCACCCCUACGAAGCGCUGGUGGUGACCCGCAGGGGACGCCGCAGGCUGCCGCCCGGAGUGGACCGGACGAGGCUGGAGAGACAUCUGGACCCUGAGCAGUUCCGUGAAGUUUUCGGGAUGAGCGCCUCCGAGUUUGAGCGCCUGUCGCUAUGGAGACGGAACGAGCUCAAGAAGAGGGCGUCGCUCUUCUGAGAGGAAGUGACAUCACAGCCACGUGGGAACAACCACGACGUCGUUUCCUGAUUGUUGCACUUCCACACGCACGCGCACACAGCCUACUUCCUGGUGACCCAAUUCCACCAAAAUAGUCGAGGAACCCAACAAGUGCUAGUUAUUCACACACACGCACACACAAACUAUACAAACAGCUUUGACACACACAGACAGACACACAUGCAAACGCAUUCGCGCAAGCACCCACACCAACACACAAACAUUCAAUGAGCGAUUGGUUGCCAUGGUUACGAGGAGGAAGAGGAGGAGUUAAGCAGUUUGCGCUGCUCUUAUUUUGAAGGCCCGAGCUUUUGGAUUGUUUGAUUUUCUUGACGUCCGUUUCGUGUUCCUCGUGUUUCUCUGCUCAACAAUAAAGUCAACGUGCACGCGACAACGAGCACGCAAUGGUUUA